rnacentral:rRNA from 1 species
UACGAAGGGGGCUAGCGUUGCUCGGAAUCACUGGGCGUAAAGCGCACGUAGGCGGAUGUGUCAGUCAGGGGUGAAAUCCCGGGGCUCAACCUCGGAACUGCCUUUGAUACAGCACGUCUCGAGUCCGGAAGAGGUGGGUGGAAUUCCUAGUGUAGAGGUGAAAUUCGUAGAUAUUAGGAAGAACAUCAGUGGCGAAGGCGGCCUGCUGGGCUGUUGCUGACGCUGAGGCGCGACAGCGUGGGGAGCAAACAGG